GUAGAGGAGGUGGAACCGGAAGCCAGGAGGCACUGAAUCCUGCCUGGUGGAGACAGUGAAAGGUUCAGAAAACGACAGGAUCCUGAGAAACCCAUGGAAAGCUGAGAGUGGCGUUCAUUAGUAGCCAGCAGAGGUCAGGGAGCAAAGAUGCAUCAAGGUGGAGCCCUGAUGGCUUGGAGAAAAGUCUGGCCUUGAAUCUGCUCUGCUGGAGAGAUCUCCUGUAAAGACCAUGGGGAGUCAGCGAGAGAUGCUGAGAUACUGUGCCGAUUGUCUGGUCCUGGUCCGUAAUGUCAAAGGGAGGAUCCCAGGACCAUUUCUCAUGUGAUCAGGAUCUUGGGGAAGUCCCCAGCUGAGAGGCCCCACAUAGGCCCCGGGAUGGGUAAGAACAGGUUGUUGUGUUUGAGCCAACAGGUCUGUGAGUUGUAUCUUAUGCAGCCAUAGAAACUAAAGCCUUUUGUUUGCCUUGUCCCAAACUUCCAGCCACGGAGUCCCCUACCACCCCUGCAACCGCUUCUCUGCUGUAUUUUCUUUGUAAGCAUUUAUCAUACUGACAACACUAGACAGUCCAGGUUCAUGGCUGAGUCCCCACUGUAUACAUUGUUUUGAACAGAAUUUGUUAACUACAAGAAGAAUCAACCUUAAGGUCUGGUCCGUGGUUAGAGCGAGGACACAAAGCAUCAUGGGAUUUAAUUUCUUGUGCAUCUCCUUCCUCGCUCCAUCCCUCCCUCCCUUUCUGUGCUAAGCAUGUAC
rnacentral:lncRNA from 1 species